rnacentral:rRNA from 1 species
UUACUGCUAUCGGGGUGGGACUAAGACAUGCGAGUCGAGCGUCUCUAGCUAUGUUGAGACGCGGCAGACGGCUCAGUAACACGUGGCUAACCUACCCUCAGGACAAGGACAAACCCGGGAAACUGGGGCUAAUACUUGAUAGGCGAAGAUGCCUGGAAUGGUUUUUCACCUAAAAGGCUUUAGAAACAUGCUUCUAAAGUCGCCUGAGGAUGGGGCCGCGUCCGAUCAGGUUGUUGGUGAGGUAACGGCUCACCAAGCCUAUAACCGGUACGGGCCGUGAGAGCGGUAGCCCGGAGAUGGGUACUGAGACAAGGACCCAGGCCCUACGGGGCGCAGCAGUCGCGAAAACUCCGCAAUGCACGAAAGUGUGACGGGGCUACCCCGAGUGCCAUCCGCUGAGGAUGGCUUUCCUUUGGUAUAACUAGCCAUUGGAAUAAGGAGAGGGCAAGACUGGUGUCAGCCGCCGCGGUAAUACCAGCCCCCUGAGUGGUAAGGACGAUUAUUUGGCUUAAAGCGUCCGUAGCCGGCUUAGUGAGUCUCUUGUUAAAUCCAAUGAUUCAAUCAUUGAACUGCAAGAGAUACUACUAUGCUAGAGGACGGGAGAGGUCGACGGUAGUCCAAGGGUAGGGGUGAAAUCCUAUAAUCCUUGGAGGACCACCAGUGGCGAAG